rnacentral:rRNA from 1 species
AACGAACGCUGGCGGCAUGCUUAACACAUGCAAGUCGAACGGGAUCCGGGCUUCGGCCUGGUGAGAGUGGCGGACGGGUGAGUAACGCGUGGGAACCUGCCCAUUGGUUCGGAACAACCGCGGGAAACUGCGGCUAAUACCGGAUACGCACCGGGGGCAACUUCGGGGGAAAGAUUCAUUGCCGAUGGAGGGGCCCGCGUCCGAUUAGGUAGUUGGCGGGGUAAUGGCCCACCAAGCCAUCGAUCGGUAGCUGGUCUGAGAGGAUGAUCAGCCACACUGGGACUGAGAUACGGCCCAGACUCCUACGGGAGGCAGCAGUGGGGAAUAUUGGACAAUGGGGGCAACCCUGAUCCAGCAAUGCCGCGUGAGUGAUGAAGGCCUUCGGGUUGUAAAGCUCUUUUGCCAGGGACGAUGAUGACGGUACCUGGAGAAUAAGCCCCGGCUAACUUCGUGCCAGCAGCCGCCGUAAUAC